GCUCUCGUAGCUCAGGUGGAUAGAGCGGCGGUUUCCUAAACCGCAGGUCACAGGUUCGAAUCCUGCCGGGGGUA
rnacentral:tRNA from 1 species